GCGAGAGUGGCGAAAUUGGCAGACGCGCUGGAUUUAGGAUCCAGUGGUGAGAACCGUGGGGGUUCGAGUCCCCCCUCUCGCA
rnacentral:tRNA from 1 species